rnacentral:tRNA from 1 species
GGGCCCGUAGCUCAAGGGCAGAGCAACCGGCUCAUAACCGGUGGGUUGCAGGUUCGACUCCUGCCGGGCCCACCA